rnacentral:lncRNA from 1 species
UGUGCUACCAGGCCCAUGCUGAUUUAGAACCAUGGUUCUCAAAUCUUAGGUUUCAUCAGAACAGCCAGAAAUAGCCUGUUACAACACAAAGCACUGAGCCCAGCCCUGAGUGUCCGGUGCACAAAGUGUGGGGAAGGCUGCGAUUGUAACAAGUUCCCAAGUGAGGCUGGAUCCUGGGCCCCAAUUUGGAGAACCACUUGAAGCCAUCCCACCAGCUGCCACCAGAGGGCACAUGCGACCUCCUCCAGAGGGCCUGUUUCACUUCCAGCCACCAGCUACCUGUUCUCUGGACUACAGAGGCUCUUCCCUAAAGACUUCUAAUUGGAGUGUGAUUAUUAUUAGGAAGAAGAAACACAGCCCUCACAAAUGAGGGGUUCUGCAAGUCUGCCUGAUAUGCGAAGAGGUCAGCCUCGUGGAGGUGUUAAAUCUCCUGGCUCUGGAGAAAAGCAAACAAUUGUUCCCCCUGGAGGUUUCUUGGGCCUCCCUCGAGCUGAAGCAGAGACCUCUUUCAGAACAUCCCAGAAUCAUUCUAAAUAUAAGCUUCGUGGAUUUUUGUCUGUUUUGUUCACUGAAGUAAACUGGGCAUCUAGAACAGUAGCAGUCCCUGCGGGGGCGCUUCCCAGCUGUGGAACGCAGCACAGGAGCGCCAGGGGGCCACAGGAGGAGCAGCCUAGCCGACCACCUCCUCAGCUGCCGUGGAAACCGCAGAGCGGGGAUCGUGACCUGGAAGUGCUCAAUAAUAAUGAUUUUAAGACACAUUUUAAAUCUUUCAGGAAGACGUGUGAGCAUGGUGAGCACCUGCAGCCGCUGUGGCCAAUACCUGCCGCCCCCACUGAGUUGGCCCCAUCCACCAGGGCCUUGGGGGACUUCCACGGCUGACAGACACUCUCACUGGCCGUAUGGAAGGGCCGUAUGGCCCCACUUUGCCCCACACCCUGCAAGCUCUCCGGAUGAAUCUCAACCUUCCUUAGCUACCCGCCUCCUCCUCUCCACCUUGAGCUCAGGACAUUCACUGAGGCUAUUUUAGUUGCAAGUGACAGAAACCAGCCCAAACAGGUUUAGGUGAGAAGGAAAUUAACUGGCUGGUACCUGAAAACUUUAGAGGUGCAGUCAGCUUCAGGAACAGCUAGAUAAUGGCUGUUGCACACAGGAAGAAGGUGAGAAGCAGGGCUUGGUGGCAGAAAGGAGAUGGGGCCCAGGAGGUGGCCUUAUUGUCUUCUCAGUCCUUCCUUUUGCCCAAAGCUGAGAACUCACAGGUAAAUCCCCAUCUUCUCUAAGGGAGCUGCUGGCCUGGGACAAGCAGAGACACAGCUCUUCCUCUUAUCACCUGUGAGAGCCAGGACAGGGCCUCCAUCUCCUGCCUGCGUGGAGCUGUGGCGAG